CCCNCNANNCAGUCAUUGGGUUAGAUCUGCCUCUCUUUGCAAGAAGAGGGUUUCCAUACACACCGUGAACUGCUGGCUUCGGCCAUCACAAACUGUUAGUAAUGAAUGUAAUAUCAUAACAAAAACAAAACUUUUAACAACGGAUCUCUUGGCUCUCGCAUCGAUGAAGAACGCAGCGAAAUGCGAUAAGUAAUGUGAAUUGCAGAAUUCAGUGAAUCAUCGAAUCUUUGAACGCACCUUGCGCCCUUUGGUAUUCCGAAGGGCAUGCCUGUUUGAGUGUCAUGAAACCUCACCCCACUUGGGUUUUUGCCUGAGCGGUGGUGUAUUGGGUGUUGCCUUGCUAAAGGCUCGCCUUAAAGACAUAAGCACCUUGGAUGUAAUACGUUUCAUCCUUCUGGGUGGCUGAUAACCCCACAUAUUCAUGAUCUGGCCUCAAAUCAGGUAGGGCUACCCGCUGAACUUAAGCAUAUCAAUAAGGCGGAGGAA
rnacentral:rRNA from 1 species